AUUGAACGCUGGCGGCAUGCUUUACACAUGCAAGUCGAACGGUAACAGGCCUUCGGGUGCUGACGAGUGGCGAACGGGUGAGUAAUGCAUCGGAAUGUGCCCAGAGGUGGGGGAUAACGCAGCGAAAGCUGUGCUAAUACCGCAUGUGAUCUGAGGAUGAAAGCGGGGGACCAGGCAGCAAUGUUUGGCCUCGCGCCUUUGGAGCGGCCGAUGUCAGAUUAGGUAGUUGGUGGGGUAAAGGCCUACCAAGCCGACGAUCUGUAGCUGGUCUGAGAGGACGACCAGCCACACUGGGACUGAGACACGGCCCAGACUCCUACGGGAGGCAGCAGUGGGGAAUUUUGGACAAUGGGCGCAAGCCUGAUCCAGCAAUGCCGCGUGCGGGAAGAAGGCCUUCGGGUUGUAAACCGCUUUUGUACGGAACGAAAAGGCUCUGGCUAAUACCUGGGGCUGAUGACGGUACCGUAAGAAUAAGCACCGGCUAACUACGUG
rnacentral:rRNA from 1 species